GGACAAUCUAUCCAGGAGUGCCUCCAAGGAACCGAUGUCCCUUCCUGGCUUAAACCUACAAACGGUGAACUCUUGUCAGUCACGUUCAGGGAGGAUCUCAUUCAUAGGUCAAAAUCAAGGCCACGAAAGGUGGACACGCCACCUGCACCCGAAGAGGGUACUAGCGUUUUAAGCGCCCACAACGCUUGGACAACGAGGGAGCACGAUUCAAACACAAUCACAGCGGAAAAGCUCCUUUUUUACGCCUACACCCGCAACACACGAGGAAGCGUCGUCGAGGAAGAAAAAAAGGCGAGAGCCUCUUAUAUGCCGGCGGAACGUCCACGUGUCGCGUGAUUGCCAGGGAUUCCUGAUCGAUUGACUGGUCAACCCUUACGAUGCACUUUUACCAGUGUACCUGCAGUUUACUGCAGAUCAAUCGAUUGACUUCAUCUUGUCCAAUUUUCAGAAUAUUUCCGUGUGUCUUAUAACACAAGUUUAUCGUGUACACUUGGGUAAACGAAAACGUUCCAUGGUUCAAGACCAACGUCACGUUAAAUGCUUUACACUGUUACACCCUUGAAGAGCGUUAUCUGAGGUCACGAACUCUGUGGUAGCGAUGUAACCGAUUUACGUUAAUUAGAUUCUAAGCUGGUUAAUUGGUAAAUUAGUUAGCUUUUAAGUAUUUAACAGCACAUAUCUAUUAUACACACUGAUUCGAACAAAGAGGUUCCAUGGUUCAAGACCAACAUCACGUAACCGCUUUACACCAUCGUCCACCCUUGAAGAGCGUAUACUGAGGUCAUGAACUCUGAGCACCGAUUUAACCAGCCAGCUAUCUUCAACCAUUGAGGCGCAUCUAACCGUAGUUGCACUUGUCACGAGGAGAUUCGUUCUGUCUCAGCAGGGGGUGGAGCAUUUUCAUUCAUCGCACCCUAUUUCUCAUCGAGUUGCGAUUUCAAGAAAUUCACCACCGUAUUUCUUUCACUUUUAUGAUUAUUUAUUUUAUUCACUGUUGAAAAAAUAUUCUAAUCGAUCGCAUUGUUUUCAGAAUAGAAAAAGAAAAUAAAGAAAAUGUGAAAAUGGAAGAAUAACGCGUGCAACACCGUGCUUGAUCGUUCAUCGACACCAGCGUAAGAGAUAAGAGACCGGCGUAACCGCGAUGGUAUACAUAUUCAUGCGUCCUUCGACGAUGGCGUCCCGACGUCGAGUGUGUCGCUCCGAGGGACAGCAACGAACCACGCUACCUCGGCGCCGCCGUCGUGUUCCUCGUCCACGUCUACGUCGCCUUUCUCCUUACCUUCAAGACAUUUCCCGGCAUCGACGUCCGUGUCAGUGAACCGACGCCGGCGAAAGGAGCACCGAACUUGUUGCACCGCGACCAGGAAGCUACGCGCAAGCCUCGUCUUCCGCUUAAAUCGCCUCGACAAGCAAUGUACAAUGUCCAUGAUAAUCGAUGCAAUCAUCAGAAAUGGGAAAUCGAAGAACCUGUUAGCUAUAUUAGAAAAUGUAAUUUUAUGGCAAGGGUAAUGCAAAAUCAACGCUGAGCCUGGAUAAUAAUUUGGAAAUCUUAAAAUUUCAAUUGUUUUCACUUGUACAAUUCACGAUAUUUCAUAACGUGUUGGAAACAAGAUAGAGAUCUCUAUGGCGAACUUUGGAAAAUCCAAGAUUUUGCGUGCAGAAGAUUACGAUUUCUCGGAAGAAACGUAGCUGUAUCGUAUUUGAAACAUUUCACGCUGAAGCAUGACGCAUUACCAUAGCCGAUGAAAUCCGUUGGCGUAUAUUAAAAAAUCGACCAAUUAUAAUCUCAUAUGAAACAUUUGAACCGUGUAACACGAAUCGAUUUUUCUGUAACAGCCACGUCCAACCGACUGGAACUUUGAUAAUUGCACGAAAUAACAGCUCGAUACGGAAUAAUUAACUGUACAAGAGAACAGUAAAAGAAGAUUUCCAGAUAGGAUUGUUAUAAUGAUAGGGCAAUGGGACGUUUCCAAUUUUAAGAACGCUCCAACUGAACAUGCUCUACUUUCUACUUCAUAUCUCCUUUUUCUUUUUAACAAUCCUCGAGGUUUGCAUUUCUUCGAGCAAGAAACACAGCCUUAUCGUAGGGCCAGCAGGAUGAUUAGCCACAUGAAGCUUAAGAAUUGCAGAAUGCGCGAUAUGAAUACAAGAUACAAGCUGUGGCCGUCGCGAAGGUCGAAUAACAAGAGCGAUAAUAUUAACAUUACACCCAGGGCCGGCCCUGGGCCUACUGACCCCCAAGGUUCAGGGCCCCCAUAAGACGAUUUGCGUCUAAGAAUGCAAGAAGAGUAAUGUUUACUUGAAAAUUAACAAGCUUUAAUGUUAAUUUUAUAAAUUUUAUUUCAGCUACUUUUUUUAUGUCUGUAUAUGUAAAGGAGCUCGCCUAGGAUCUUCGAAAUCUCCGGAUCGGCCCUGGUUACACCGAUGCUUCUUUUGCAUAAAAAUUUCCAUCUGCAUUAUUUAGUUAACUGUAUGAAAAAUUCAUCGUAAUCUCACAACGGUAAGCCAAUAUUUUUAACGCGUAAACUUCCGUCCAUAAGUCACCGUAUAUCUGAUUAUUUUAGAAUAAAUCUGAAUUACAUAGUUGCAGAUUUACGUCAGGGUAAUGACUCCAAACGUACUGUCAGAGAAAGAAUACAUAAUAGGAAGACUUAGAAGUAAUAUUAUAUAUUGAAUUGCAGAGAAUUUCGAUGGUCAUCUUUAUAAUAUUUCCUUGGCAAGGGGAAUAGUCAAUACUUUGGCGGGGUUUGCGUGUCUGGCGUUGAAGGCGGCUGACCAGAUUCGUUUCUCGACCACUUAAGUAAUCGAGCGACGGCCAAGCGGCUCGUAUAUCACGAUCUUCAGCUCGAGAAAGUCAACGUUACUGUCAGUAGAAUACCACUAUUAUUCAAAGCCUGUUUUUCUAAUAAUUUACUGAUUGACAUUCGCGGUAAUUAAUCUAUGAUGUGAUUGCAGAGUGGUUUGCAAGUACCACUAUUGUAAUUCCCUCCUUUUCUUUUUCUAAUUACUCUUUUCUUUACAGCUCUUCAGCUCCAGAAAAUCAACGUUACUGUCAGUAGAAUACCACUAUUAUUCAAAGCCUGUUUUUCUAAUAAUUUACUGAUUGACAUUCGCGGUAAUUAAUCUAUGAUGUCUGAUUUUAGAGUGGUUUGCAAGUACCGAAUGUUCUUUUCCACGAUGGAAAAAGGCAAUAGUUAGAAGUUACUGCUAUCGCGCUAGAAAUCUACGUAAGAAUCACCGAUGGCCAAGGAGGUCAACGAGUUUUGUGUCACGGAAAUACUGGUACCUCCGUUGAAAAAGGAACAAUCAGGAAAACGAGUUUUCUAGCAGAAAGAUAUGAAGAAAGGAUUUUCAAGCAAGAGCAAAACAAUUAGAAACGUUCCUCCUCCUUGGUAUCGACUUUACCAUAAAACUAUAAGGGCCAUUGGCCGAAAGUUAAUUUCUGAUCGAUGCUUUUUUUCUUUCCUUUUCUUCACAGUUUCAGAGAGUCGUAAAGUGUCGUUCUCGAUAAAGAUAAGAGGCCUGAACGAUAAGAGUGCGUGCUUGAAAUUCUAAAUUUAAUCAGUGCCCUUUAUUAGGCAAGCAUAGACGUGUAAAAAAAUAAUAACCAUUCGAAGAGUUUUUAUUGUUUUUCAGAGGACUAUUGAAUUUUUACAUUUUACACGUAAACCUCUGCGAUAGUAGAAGUAAAACAGAGUGAAAAAAAUUUGAUAUACUAUAACUUUUGUAACAGUUGUUUCAGAAACUUGGGGCCGGUAAUUCUGAACGGCAGCAAUACAUUACACGCGGUCAGCACGACACACGUCCCGGAGUGGAACAAUCAUUACAGUGAUAUCGUCUUUGCGCUGUGUUACCCUACUCCAAAGCUUUCACCCUCCUACAAGUUGAGUGGCCUCCACUUAUCCUACUGCCAUCGCUGUCUUCCUUGCUUUCUGUAAUAUACGCUUGUUGUGGUGCAUUAAUUGAUGUCGUUGCUCAUACGUUUCCAUGUUUCGCAAAAGCAUGUAAAUUAUUUGAAGUGAUUAACGAAACACCAGCAAUUAUAUUUAUGAUCAUUAUUCAUACUUGCCCCACGAGUAUAUGUACAUGUUACACAGGGUGAUAUCUUAAAUUGAAAUGAUUAUGAAUGUACCUAGAUUGAGUUGCUAUCGCGUAGAUGAUUGAAGACCUAGUUUUACUUCUAUUUACAUGCACAACUACAAUUAUCAUCAAAUAUUACAAACUAUCUAUAAGGGUGUGGUUUAUCAGGUGAUGUUUAUCAAAGUGUUUGUAGGUCAAACACGACAAUACAUAGAACCAUUCACAUUUGGCUUUAACAAGAGAGCAAGAUAAGAUGUGGCAAAGGCAUAUUUUUCAAGGUGCAUCGAGGAAACAUCUCGUACAUCAUAAGGAUUAUCAGGAACGUUUCAACGAUGUCCUCGAGUCUUAGAUUUCCACUGGUUUCAGAUUUAGAACGAACCACUUCCAUGUCACUGAGCCAUGAAGAAAAUAAUAUUAAAUUAAGCGUGAGCACGAACGUGUGGUAAUGGCUCUUGAUAACUUAUUAAGCAAUUCGUUAAUUUACUGUGCUUCAUCAUACAUAGAACAUCCGACUAGAAAGCCAUCGUGCUAAACUCGAAAAAUAGAUGAAAAGCAUAAUAAGACUUUUGUAUUUCAUAGAAUACGUGUACCAAUUAUUGCAAACAAUUCUUUACAUCAUCUACGCGAAGGACACAGUGUUGGCUCCUUUUAGGUGGUGCAUGUUUAAGGUUUCGUGUCGUGGACAAAACGUACCACAAAAGUUGUGCUGCCACCGAUAAAGAGUGUCGAUCUUAUCCGAAAUAACGUUAAAAAUAGCGAGAAAAGGAUUAUACGAAGUAAGAUGGAUAGGGAAAAAAGUAAGAACCUUUCUUUCUUUUUCUCAAAUUUCUGUACUGUCAAUAUCUAUGCAUACAAUUCAUUAAUUCUUUUAAUUCGUUAUAAAAUGUUUCAGUACUAAGGAGAAACUGUCUUCUUCGCUUUUUUUGACACCUUACCAACUUUUUUCAGUUUCUUAAACGGUGUCUUCCCAUUAAUUUGUUUCUUCAUCUUGCGAAUAAUUUUCUUCUUUUGCACUACAGACUCGAGCUGAAUUUUUUUCUUUUUCA